AUGAAAGUGGAGGAAGAAAGUGUUUUCUUUUUCACACUUUCUUUCAAUUUCCAACUAGCAAGUUUGUUUUUAAAGUUUGAUUGUUUUUUAUUCUUUUAUUCUUUUUUCUUUUUUCUUAAAAAAAUUCAUACACAAAUAAAGGAGAAGAAUGGGGGCUGUCUCCCCAUGCUUUUUAUUUUAAUUUUAUUAUUUAUUUUUAUUGAUUAA